rnacentral:rRNA from 1 species
GACGAACGCUGGCGGCGUGCUUAACACAUGCAAGUCGAGCGGUAAGGCUCCUUCGGGAGUACACGAGCGGCGAACGGGUGAGUAACACGUGAGCAAUCUGCCCAUCUCCUUGGAAUAAGCGUUGGAAACGACGUCUAAUGCCGAAUACGACCUCCUUUCGCAUGAUCGGAGGUGGAAAGCUCCGGCGGAGAUGGAUGAGCUCGCGGCCUAUCAGCUAGUUGGUGAGGUAACGGCCCACCAAGGCGACGACGGGUAGCCGGCCUGAGAGGGUGACCGGCCACACUGGGACUGAGACACGGCCCAGACUCCUACGGGAGGCAGCAGUGGGGAAUAUUGGACAAUGGGCGAAAGCCUGAUCCAGCAACGCCGCGUGAGGGAUGACGGCCU